GACGAACGCUGGCGGCGUGCUUAACACAUGCAAGUCGAGCGAUGAAGCACCUUCGGGUGUGGAUUAGCGGCGAACGGGUGAGGAACACGUGAAGAAUCUGCCUUCAACUCUGGGAUAACUCCGGGAAACCGGGGCUAAUACCGGAUAUGAGCCUUGGCCGCAUGGCCGGGGCUGGAAAGUUUUUCGGUUGAAGAUGACUUCGCGGCCUAUCAGCUUGUUGGUGAGGUAAUGGCUCACCAAGGCGACGACGGGUAGCCGGCCUGAGAGGGCGACCGGCCACACUGGGACUGUGACACGGCCCAGACUCCCACGGGAGGCAGCAGUGGGGAAUAUUGGGCAAUGGAGGAAACUCUGACCCAGCGACGCCGCGUGAGGGAUGAAGGCCUUCGGGUUGUAAACCUCUUUCAGUAGGGAAGAAGCGAAAGUGACGGUACCUACAGAAGAAGCACCGGCUAACUAUGUGCCAGCAGCCGCAGUAA
rnacentral:rRNA from 1 species